AAGAAACAGCCCUGCGUCCUCUGCAGCACGAUCUAGCCGAGAUCGAGAAUUUCAUCCUACGACCGCGCCAUCCGGACUUCCAGAUCAGGGAAUCAAUUACUUGUAGUCAAAUAAGAUAAAUUAUCUGGCCAGAUUCCAGAAUCCUCAGAGAAGCUGAUCCAAGGCUGACAGAUUAACAUGUUUUGAGAUGGAUAUGGCCCCUGGCAACUUGGCAGUUGCAAUUGUAUAUUUUUGUUGUUUUAGGCCUUGCAAGGCUUGCUGUAAGCUUUUGUUAGAAGGACGAUCUCCAUCUUGACCCAGCAGAGGUAAGCCAUCUUAUUACAUUUUCAGUUUAUCACUUGGAUUCUCUGUCUCUCAGUUUAUAUGUUUAGUGUGUGUGUCCUUUCUUUGUAUGAUUUGCAAAUGCUGCUCAGCUGAAUAUAAUUUGACUGAAACUGGGUGUUUUAUUUUUCAUCAUCAUUAAUCUCAAAUAAGCCAUUCAUUCAUG